GGGGAUGAAACGGCUUCGACAGGCAUGUGGAGGAUAUAGACUGCGGGUCGAGUUGAGAUAACUCGCUAAACCAUCUCAAAAAAACACAAACGCCGAGAAAGUUCCAGCUUUCAACGUUAGCUCUUACCAUGCUAUGCCUCUUGCGGCAUAAUUAUUAAGAGCAAAACUGACCUAAAGAACUUAGGUCACGGGUAAGGUUCUCUUACCUCAAGAGAGUGCUUUAUCUGUCAUACAAAUUGGGGUGCGUUGUGGUAAUACUGAUAACACACAACAAAGAGGGCGAAAGCCUUUUAUUGGUUAGGUUUAGGCGGACUCCGUUGGUUGAUGAACCCUGGACGACAAAACUGAAGCCAACUACACUCGUAGACGUUUAUAGCCAGCAUGGUUGGACUCGGGUUCAACUCCCGACAUCUCCACUA
rnacentral:tmRNA from 1 species